rnacentral:rRNA from 1 species
AUUGAACGCUGGUGGCAGGCCUACCACAUGCAAGUCGAGCGAGCGGCGGCCGGGUGAGUAAUGUCUGGGGACUGCCCGAUAGAGGGGGGUAACUACUGGAAACGGUAGCUACUACUGCAUAUUACCGGAUAACCCAUAUGGGAUUAGCUAGUCGGUGGUGUAAUGGCCCACCUUGUCGACGAUCCCUAGCUGGUCUUAGAGGAUGGUCAGACACAAUGGAAUUGAGACACGGCCCAGACUCCGACGGAGGCAGCAGUGGGGAAUAUGGCACAAUGGGCGCAAGCCUGAUGCAGCCAUGCCGCGUGUAUGAAGAAGGCCCUAGGGUUGUAAAGUACUUUCAGUCGGGAGGCGUUACCGACAGAAGAAGCACCGGCUAACUCCGUGCCAGCAGCCGCGGUAAUUC